GUUUUUGAAUAGUGCUGAAGGAAGCUAGGAAGCCGAAACGUCAGUAUUGUCUCGGGUUAAACCAAAGAAGAACUUAGCGUCACGUCGGUGAAGCAGCAGACGAACAAUUCAUUUGGACAAUUCAUUUUGACAAUUUCGCCUUUCGUCAUGAAAAUCUUCGCUUUCUCAAUCGUGUUGCUCCUUAUCGUCUCUCUUCAACAAACACAAGCUGUGGCUCGGUUUUUCGUAAUCUUUGUGCGUCUGGGUUACAAGUUGAUUAAGAAUAUGCAUUACGCCAAAUGCAAUACGCCUAAAGUUCCUUCUCAUAUGAAUUGCCCUGGAGUCGUUCUCGGAUUUGGCCCGACGAAAAAAAUAGCCAAAAAGUUCGCAAGAGUCGACGCAGAGUUGAGAGGAGAUAAAGGUUGUGCUCGUUAUGUCGCACAUUGUCACGUAAAGAAAUUCUUUAAGUGAUGGCAUCAUUGGCAUGCUGUUUAAUGAUAAUGGAAAACGCUGGAUUUCGAUUUAUUAUUACUGGACUGUAGAAUGAAGAACAUUAAUUAACGAUAAUCGUAAUAAGUUUAAUAACUGUUUAUUUUUGUCUUUUAUUACUAAGCAUAUCAUGUAAAAGCAAUGAGAAAUAAAAAUGUUUUGUUUGCAUUA